AUGAACGCUGGCGGCGUGCCUAAUACAUGCAAGUCGAGCGAACAGACGAGGAGCUUGCUCCUCUGACGUUAGCGGCGGACGGGUGAGUAACGCGUGGAUAACCUACCUAUAAGACUGAGAUAACUUCGGGAAACCGGAGCUAAUACCGGAUAAUAUAUUGAACCGCAUGGUUCAAUAGUGAAAGACGGUUUUGCUGUCACUUAUAGAUGGAUCCGCGCCGCAUUAGCUAGUUGGUAAGGUAACGGCUUACCAAGGCAACGAUGCGUAGCCGACCUGAGAGGGUGAUCGGCCACACUGGAACUGAGACACGGUCCAGACUCCUACGGGAGGCAGCAGUAGGGAAUCUUCCGCAAUGGGCGAAAGCCUGACGGAGCAACGCCGCGUGAGUGAUGAAGGUCUUCGGAUCGUAAAACUCUGUUAUUAGGGAAGAACAAAUGUGUAAGUAACUAUGCACGUCUUGACGGUACCUAAUCAGAAAGCCACGGCUAACUACGUG
rnacentral:rRNA from 1 species